rnacentral:rRNA from 1 species
AGUUUUGAUUCCUGGCUCGAACGAACGCUGGCGGCAUGCCUUAACACAUAGGCAAUGAUCGAACGAGACCUUCGGGAUUCAUUUAGGGCGCACCGUUGUUACGUAACGCUGGGAAUCUGCCCUUAGUCGGAAAUAACAGUUAGGAAAUGAACACUGCUAAUUACCGGAAUGAUGAUCGUUUACAGUCCAAUAUGAUUAUCGCCCAAGGCAUGAGGCCUCGCGUAGGCUAGGUAUAGCUACGCUCUGGUUAAGGUAAAAAAGCUUACCAAGGCGGACGUCCUUAGCUGGCUCUGAAGAUUGAUCAGCCACACUGGGACUGAGACAUCGGCCCAGACUCCUUACGGAUAGCAGCAGUGAGGGAAUAUUGGACAUGGGGCGAAAAGCCUGCAUCCUAGGGCAAUGCCGCGUGAGUGAUGAAGGCCUUAGGGUUUUGUUAUAAAGCUCUUUUACCAGGAAUGAUAGAUGACAGUACCUGAGAGAAAACUAAGCUCCGGCUAACUACCGUUUGCCCCAGGACAGCCGCUCCAUGAGGUAAUACGGAGGGGAGCUUAGCGUUGUUUUCGGAAUUACUGGGCGUAAGCGUUACGUAGCGGCGACAUUCAGUCAGAGGUGAUAAGCCUGGAGGCUCAACUUCCAGAAACUGCCUUUGGAAAACUAGAUUGCUAGAUAUCUUGGAGAGGUCAGUGGCAUAUUCCAGUGUUAGAGGUGAAAUUCGUUAAGAUUUUCGGAAGAUACAUCCAGUUGGCGAAGGGCGACUGAUUGGACAAGUAUUGACGCGAGGUACGAAAGCGUGGGGAGCAAACAGGAUAAGAUACCCUGGUAAGUCCACGCCACGUAAACGAUGAUAACUAGCUUGCCGGGGAGGUCACGAGAGACUUCGGUGGCGCAGCUGAACGCAUAAUUAUUCCCCUGGGAGUACGGUCGCAAAGAUUAAAACUCAAAGGAAUUGACGGGGGGCCUGCACAAAGCGGUGGGAAGGCAUGUGUUAAUUCGAAGCCAACAGCGCAGAACCUUACCAGCGUUUGACAUCCUGUCGGCGGAUAGUGGAGACACUUUCCUUUCAGUUCGGCAUGGAUCGUGACAGGUGCUGCAUGGCUGGUCGGUCAGCUCGUGUCGUCGAGAAUGGUUGGGUUAAGUCCCGCUAAACGAGCGCAACCUCGCCUUUAGUUACAUUCAUUCAGUUGGGUGAGGUUAUCUAAGGAACCGCCGGUUGAUAAGCCGGCAGUGAAGGUCGGGAGAUGACGUCAAGUCCUCAUGGCCCUUACACGCUGGAGCUACAACACGUGCUACAAAAUGGCGGGUGACAGUGGGCAGCAAACCUCGCGAGAGAAGCUAAUCUCCAAAAGGCCGUCUAGUUCGGAUUGUUCUCAUGCAACUCGAGAUAGCUAUGAAGGCGAAUCGCUAUAACGCGGUAUUCAGCAUGUCCGCAGGUGAAUACGUUCCCAGGCCUUGUAUGACAUCCGCCCGUCACACCAUGGGAGUGGUUCACCCGAGAAGGCGUUGCGCUAAACUCGCAGAGAGAGGCAGGCGACCACGGUGGGCUAGCGACUGGGGGUUGAAGUUCGUAACAAGGUUAGCCGUAGGGGAACCUGCGGGCU